rnacentral:lncRNA from 1 species
CGAAUUGAUAUGAGUUUGCUUCAAGAGGAUGAUGCUAGGGCUACGCCUAAGGAGUGGCAUAUUAGGCUAUUAUGCAUAUAGAGUAAGUUGGCGGCAUAUUAGGAUCUAACAUCCUUGAUCCAAGGGAUUUGUUACAAUCAAUUCUGUAACACCCAUCGUCCGACCCGAUUGUUGGGUCCGAGCUAUAAGUUACUACAUUUGCUGUCGGAGCAACUACAAUCAAUCAAACAUCGAACAAUCAUUUAUAAAUGCA